GAGUAACGCGUAUCCAACCUGCCCACCACUUGGGGAUAACCUUGCGAAAGUAAGACUAAUACCCAAUGAUAUCUCUAGAAGACAUCUGAAGGAGAUUAAAGAUUUAUCGGUGAUGGAUGGGGAUGCGUCUGAUUAGCUUGUUGGCGGGGUAACGGCCCACCAAGGCUACGAUCAGUAGGGGUUCUGAGAGGAAGGUCCCCCACAUUGGAACUGAGACACGGUCCAAACUCCUACGGGAGGCAGCAGUGAGGAAUAUUGGUCAAUGGACGAGAGUCUGAACCAGCCAAGUAGCGUGCAGGAUGACGGCCCUAUGGGUUGUAAACUGCUUUUAUAAGGGAAUAAAGUGAGUCUCGUGAGACUUUUUGCAUGUACCUUAUGAAUAAGGACCGGCUAAUUCCGUGCCAGCAGCCGCGG
rnacentral:rRNA from 1 species